rnacentral:rRNA from 1 species
AUUGAACGCUGGCGGCAGGCUUAACACAUGCAAGUCGAGCGGGGUGAUGGUGCUUGCACUGUCACUUAGCGGCGGACGGGUGAGUAAUGCUUAGGAAUCUGCCUAUUAGUGGGGGACAACAUCCCGAAAGGGAUGCUAAUACCGCAUAAGUCCUACGGGAGAAAGCAGGGGAUCACUUGUGACAUUGCGCUAAUAGAUGAGCCUAAGUCGGAUUAGCUAGUUGGUGGGGUAAAGGCCUACCAAGGCGACGAUCUGUAGCGGGUCUGAGAGGAUGAUCCGCCACACUGGGACUGAGACACGGCCCAGACUCCUACGGGAGGCAGCAGUGGGGAAUAUUGGACAAUGGGGGGAACCCUGAUCCAGCCAUGCCGCGUGUGUGAAGAAGGCCUUAUGGUUGUAAAGCACUUUAAGCGAGGAGGAGGCUCUUUUGGUUAAUACCCAAGAUGAGUGGACGUUACUCGCAGAAUAAGCACCGGCUAACUCUGUGCCAGCCGCCGCAGUAA